UACGGGGGGAGGACAGCUGUUGUGAAUUACUGGGCGUAAAGGGCUCGUAGGCGGCCAACUAAGUCAGACGUGAAAUCCCUCGGCUUAACCGGGGAACUGCGUCUGAUACUGGAUGGCUAGAGGUUGGGAGAGGGAUGCGGAAUUCCAGGUGUAGCGGUGAAAUGCGUAGAUAUCUGGAGGAACACCGGUGGCGAAGGCGGCAUCCUGGACCAAUUCUGACGCUGAGGAGCGAAAGCCAGGGGAGCAAACGGG
rnacentral:rRNA from 1 species